UGGACGGAAACAGCUCAAAGAAACCCUGGGGACCAAGCAGACAGGAAGUGGAGGUCAAACCACAGGAAUUGGAGGUAAAACAACAGGAAGUGAAGGUAAACAACAGGGAAUGGAUAUAAAAGCCACAAGAAGUGGAGAUGAACCCCCAUCAGGACACUCAGUGACUCAGAGCUGAGUGAGGAUCUCCAUCUGCCGAGAGAUGAGCAGUAAAUGGGAGGCCAUGGUUGUUUACGUCUGUUUCCCAGACGACGGCUGGUUGUUUAACACAAACACAGGCUGACUGCAGGUCAUGUGAUCAUCAGCGGUUCAGCUAAACCAGCUGCUCCGAGUCUGAAACUCCUUCAUCCUCUGACUACCAGGCAGUCAGUGGCAGGAAAACAUCCAGAAGACAAAA